UGGGAACCUUCCCUAUGGGUUACGGGAAUAGCUCAGGGAAACUUGGGGCAAUACCGGAUAAGCCCUUCGGGGGAAAGAUUUAUCGCCAUUGGAUGGGCCCGCGUCGGAUUAGCUAGUUGGUGAGGUAACGGCUCACCAAGGCAACGAUCCGUAGCUGGUCUGAGAGGAUGAUCAGCCACACUGGGACUGAGACACGGCCCAGACUCCUACGGGAGGCAG
rnacentral:rRNA from 1 species